AUUGAACGCUGGCGGCAGGCCUAAUACAUGCAAGUCGAGGGAGAAUGUUGGAUUCGUCUGACAUGAAACCGGCGCACGGGUGCGUAACACGUAUGCAACCUACCUUUAACUGGGGUAUAGCUCAGAGAAAUCUGAAUUAAUCCCCCAUAAGACUACGACAUGGCAUCAUGAUGUAGUUAAAGCUCCGGCGGUUAAGGAUGGGCAUGCGGUACAUUAGCUAGUUGGUGAGGUAAUGGCUCACCAAGGCUACGAUGUAUAGGGGGUCUGAGAGGAUGAUCACCCACACUGGUACUGAGACACGGACCAGACUCCUAAGGGAGGCAGCAGUAGGGAAUAUUGGUCAAUGUACGCAAGUUUGAACCAGCCAUGCCGCGUGAAGGAUGAAGGCCCUAUGGGUCGUAAACUUCUUUUAUUAGGGAAGAAAAAACGGGAUGCGUCCUGUACUGACGGUACUUAAUGAAUAAGGAUCGGCUAACUUCGUGCCAGCAGCCGCGGUAA
rnacentral:rRNA from 1 species